CUGGCGGCGUGCCUAAUACAUGCAAGUCGAACGGUCUUUCUAUGGAAGCUUGCUUCCACUGAGAAGAUAGUGGCGAACGGGUGAGUAACACGUGGGUAACCUGCCCAUAAGAGGGGGAUAACAUCCGGAAACGGGUGCUAAUACCGCAUAGUUUUCUUGAUCGCAUGAUCGGGAAAGGAAAGACGGCCUUUGUGCUGUCGCUUAUGGAUGGACCCGCGGCGUAUUAGUUAGUUGGUGAGGUAACGGCUCACCAAGACGAUGAUACGUAGCCGACCUGAGAGGGUGAUCGGCCACAUUGGGACUGAGACACGGCCCAACUCCUACGGGAGGCAGCAGUAGGGAAUCUUCCGCAAUGGACGAAAGUCUGACGGAGCAACGCCGCGUGAGUGAAGAAAGGUUUUCGGAUCGUAAAACUCUGUUGUCAGAGAAGAACAAGUUGGAGAGUAACUGCUCCAGCCUUGACGGUAUCUGACCAGAAAGCCACGGCUAACUACGUGCCAGCAGCGGC
rnacentral:rRNA from 1 species